GUCUCGGAUAGCUCAAAUGGUAGAACAUUUGGCGCGUAACCAAAAGUCCAGGUUCGAGUCCUGGUCCGGGCU
rnacentral:tRNA from 1 species